rnacentral:rRNA from 1 species
GAUGAACGCUGGCGGCGUGCCUAAUACAUGCAAGUCGAGCGAACAGACGAGGAGCUUGCUCCUCUGACGUUAGCGGCGGACGGGUGAGUAACACGUGGAUAACCUACCUAUAAGACUGGGAUAACUUCGGGAAACCGGAGCUAAUACCGGAUAACAUGUUGAACCGCAUGGUUCAACAGUGAAAGACGGUUUUGCUGUCACUUAUAGAUGGAUCCGCGUCGCAUUAGCUAGUUGGUAAGGUAACGGCUUACCAAGGCAACGAUGCGUAGCCGACCUGAGAGGGUGAUCGGCCACACUGGAACUGAGACACGGUCCAGACUCCUACGGGAGGCAGCAGUAGGGAAUCUUCCGCAAUGGGCGAAAGCCUGACGGAGCAACGCCGCGUGAGUGAAGAAGGUCUUCGGAUCUUAAAACUCUGUUAUUAGGGAAGAACAAAUGUGUAAGUAACUAUGCACGUCUUGACGGUACCUAAUCAGAAAGCCACGGCUAACUACGUG